rnacentral:rRNA from 1 species
CCUACGGGCGGCAGCAGUGAGGAAUAUUGGUCAAUGGGCGUAAGCCUGAACCAGCCAAGUCGCGUGAGGGAUGAAGGUUCUAUGGAUCGUAAACCUCUUUAUAAAGGAAUUAAACGAGGCACGGGUGGCUUUUUGCAUGUACUUUAUGAAUAAGGAACGGCGAACUCCGUGCCAGCCGGCGCGGUAAUACGGAGGAUCCGAGCGUUAUCCGGAUUUAUUGGGUGUAAAGGGAGCGUAGAUGGGUUGUUAAGUCAGUUGUGAAAGUUUGCGGCUCAACCGUAAAAUUGCAAUUGAUACUGGCAGUCUUGAGUACAGUUGAGGUAGGCGGAAUUCGUGGUGUAGCGGUGAAAUGCUUAGAUAUCACGAAGAACCCCGAUUGCGAAGGCAGCUUACUAAACUGUGACUGACAUUGAUGCUCGAAAGUGUGGGUAUCAAACAGGAUUAGAUACCCGAGUAGUC